rnacentral:rRNA from 1 species
UACAGAGGGUGCGAGCGUUAAUCGGAAUUACUGGGCGUAAAGCGUGCGUAGACGGUUAUGUAAGUCGGAUGUGAAAGCCCCGGGCUUAACCUGGGAAUUGCAUUCGAGACUGCAUAGCUAGGAUGCGGAAGAGGGAAGUGGAAUUUCCGGUGUAGCGGUGAAAUGCGUAGAUAUCGGAAGGAACAUCAGUGGCGAAAGCGACUUCCUGGUCCAGCAUCGACGUCAGGCACGAAAGCGUGGGGAGCAAACAGG